AGUGAACGCUGGCGGUAGGCCUAACACAUGCAAGUCGAACGGCAGCACAGUAAGAGCUUGCUCUUACGGGUGGCGAGUGGCGGACGGGUUAGGAAUACAUCUGACUCUACUUUUUCGUGGGGGAUAACGUAGGGAAACUUACGCUAAUACCGCAUACGACCUACGGGUGAAAGCAGGUGAUCUUCGGCCCUUGCGCGAUUGACUGAGCCGAUGUCGGAUUAGCUAGUUGGCGGGGUAAAGGCCCACCAAGGCGACGAUCCGUAGCUGGUCUGAGAGGAUGAUCAGCCACACUGGAACUGAGACACGGUCCAGACUCCUACGGGAGGCAGCAGUGGGGAAUAUUGGACAAUGGGCGCAAGCCUGAUCCAGCCAUACCGCGUGGGUGAAGAAGGCCUUCGGGUUGUAAAGCACUUUUGUUGGGAAAGAAAAGCAGCAGGUUAAUACCCCGCUGUUCUGACGGUACCCAAAGAAUAAGCACCGGCUAACUUCGUG
rnacentral:rRNA from 1 species